UUUUCCUCAUUUUAGAUAAGCUAAGCAUUUAGAUAAAGUUAUUAUCAGUUAGUGAGAGUUUUUCUAUCUGUAUGUUUAAUGAUUUAUAUUAUUGUCUCAAUAAUUAACUUUAUUGUUAUGAUUUUAUCAUUUUCUAGCCUACAUUAUAUAGGGUACCAUGGUUCUUUUAUUUUUAAAUUAUUAUAGCCUUUUUAUCAGUUUGGAAAUGCAGAUAUCCUAUACAAUUUCAUAUGGCAUAUCAUGUUUAUACAAUAUUUGAAUGAUUUUAAACCUGCUCAUAUUUUGCUUUAAAAGAGGAAUACAGUUGAAUGUGUUUGGUUGCAUAUAUGUAUAACGUUUAACCAAUAUGUAAAUAUGGCUUUCAUUCCUCUACCUUCCUAUGGGAUAGCAGGAUGCUGAGCUCAGCCAACCCAUAGCUGAUUUUGGAUGUUAUGUCCAUGUAUACUGCCAAAUAUGAACAUAAAGCUCACUAUAUACUUAUAAAAUUCUUCUAGAAAAAAUAUCUAUACAGCAAGGCUUAAAAAAUGAGUUUCAUGCUAAGAAUUAAGCCUGGUGACCAAGUUAGUCUUUGGUAUGCAUUUGAUACCUGCCAUAGAUAGGAGGUGUGCCUCCAUCAAGAUGGCUCAUCAGGUAACAAUGCCACUUGGUAGCAGAUGUUUAAAAAUAGCCAGCCUUAAUUAACUGCUUUCAUAUGCUGUCCACUGUGCUCAGUGGGUUUCAUGGGGUGGUGUUAUUAUCACUAUUAUGUAGAUGAGAAAAUCAAGGUUCUUAGAUGUUCUGGAAUUUGUUCAUUUUCACAUGAUUGGAACAUUGUGGUCUUGUCUUUCAAGUCCAUGUCUACCAUACUCCACAGACCCUUUUCUGUCCACUUUGUCACCUAUAAUUCUGAACUCCAAUAUAAAGACUUCACCGUAUUUGAAAGAGAAUAGUGGGAAGUCUGAUGCUCAAUUUUGUGUACAGAACAGUUGCCUCUGUGACAUUGUAACUGCUGAAAUAAGAAAAUCCCCUUUUGAUUCAGGAUAUUAUUUAAUUAUUGCAAAUCUCCUGGCAUAGAUCUGAUACUCAAGUUAAAAAAUUAGGCUCAGGUUCUUACCUAUGAUUUUGCUUUUUAUAGUACUUUGAAACCUACAAAACUUACAUUCAACAUUUACACAUACAAAAUUCAUACAGUCUUUCAAAACUAAGAUUGCGUAAUAAUUUGAUGGCUUGAAAUUUUAAGUAUUACAAUAUAAAGAGCAGAGA
rnacentral:lncRNA from 10 species